rnacentral:rRNA from 1 species
UACAGAGGGGGGCAAGCGUUGUUCGGAUUUACUGGGCGUAAAGGGGCGCGUAGGCGGCGUGACAAGUCACUUGGUGAAAAUCUCCGGGGCUUAACUCGGAAACGGUCAAGUGAUACUGUCGUGCUAGAGUACAGGAAAGGGGGGCAACUGGAAUUCUCGGUGUAGCGGUGAAAAUGCGUAGAUAUCGAAGAGGAAACACCUGCGGGCGAAGGCGGGUUGCUGGGCUGAUACUGACGCUGAGGCGCGAAAAGGCUAGGGGGGAGCGAACGGGG